rnacentral:rRNA from 1 species
CAGUCGACGAUGAAGGGAAGCUUGCUUUCUGGAUUAGUGGCGAACGGGUGAGUAACACGUGAGUAACCUGCCCUUGACUCUGGGAUAAGCACUGGAAACGGUGUCUAAUACCGGAUACGAACUUCCACCGCAUGGUGAGGGGUUGGAAAGAAUUUUGGUCAAGGAUGGACUCGCGGCCUAUCAGCUAGUUGGUGAGGUAAUGGCUCACCAAGGCGACGACGGGUAGCCGGCCUGAGAGGGUGACCGGCCACACUGGGACUGAGACACGGCCCAGACUCCUACGGGAGGCAGCAGUGGGGAAUAUUGCACAAUGGGCGCAAGCCUGAUGCAGCAACGCCGCGUGAGGGACGAAGGCCUUCGGGUUGUAAACCUCUUUUAGUAGGGAAGAAGCGUAAAAGUGACGGUACCUGCAGAAAAAGCACCGGCUAACUACGUGCCAGCAGCCGCGGUAAUACGUAGGGUGCAAGCGUUAUCCGGAAUUAUUGGGCGUAAAGAGCUCGUAGGCGGUUUGUCGCGUCUGCUGUGAAAUCUGGGGGCUCAACCCCCAGCCUGCAGUGGGUACGGGCAGACUAGAGUGCGGUAGGGGAGAUUGGAAUUCCUGGUGUAGCGGUGGAAUGCGCAGAUAUCAGGAGGAACACCAAUGGCGAAGGCAGAUCUCUGGGCCGUAACUGACGCUGAGGAGCGAAAGCAUGGGGAGCGA